GUGCUCACUUCGACAGCACAUAUACUAAAAUUGGAAUGAUAUAGAGAAGAUUAGCAUGGCCCCUGUGCAAGGAUGACAUGCAGACUCCUGAAGCGUUCUAUAUUUUU
ensembl:snRNA U6 U6 spliceosomal RNA